rnacentral:ribozyme from 1 species
GAAGGAAAGAAAGAAAGAGAGGGCGAGACAAAGAAACAGAACAAGAGAGAAAAAAACUGACAUUUCGAACGAGUCGACCUUCAUGCCUCCUUCUUUCUGCCUGAUUUUCUCAUA